GACCCCGUUCGGCAGGCGAGAAGUUGCCAACGGGGACGUGGGACCGGCUCGCUGUCCCACGUUGGAAUCCUCGCCCUUCAACGCGGGGAGGAUGUCAACGGUCAUCGUUGA
rnacentral:misc_RNA from 1 species